UACAGAGGUCUCAAGCGUUGUUCGGAUUCAUUGGGCGUAAAGGGUGCGUAGGCGGCGUGGUAAGUCGGGGUGUGAAAUCUCGGAGCUUAACUCCGAAACUGCAUUCGAUACUGCCGUGCUUGAGGACUGGAGAGGAGACUGGAAUUUACGGUGUAGCGGUGAAAAUGCGUAGAUAUCGUAAGGAAGACCAGUGGCGAAGGCGGGUCUCUGGACAGUUCCUGACGCUGAGGCACGAAGGCCAGGGGAGCAAACGGG
rnacentral:rRNA from 1 species